rnacentral:rRNA from 1 species
GGUAGUCCACGCCCUAAACGAUGUCAACUAGCUGUUGGGGCCUUCGGGCCUUGGUAGCGCAGCUAACGCGUGAAGUUGACCGCCUGGGGAGUACGGUCGCAAGAUUAAAACUCAAAGGAAUUGACGGGGACCCGCACAAGCGGUGGAUGAUGUGGAUUAAUUCGAUGCAACGCGAAAAACCUUACCUACCCUUGACAUGUCUGGAAUCCCAAAGAGAUUGGGGAGUGCUCGCAAGAGAACCGGAACACAGGUGCUGCAUGGCUGUCGUCAGCUCGUGUCGUGAGAUGUUGGGUUAAGUCCCGCAACGAGCGCAACCCUUGUCAUUAGUUGCUACGAAAGGGCACUCUAAUGAGACUGCCGGUGACAAACCGGAGGAAGGUGGGGAUGACGUCAAGUCCUCAUGGCCCUUAUGGGUAGGGCUUCACACGUCAUACAAUGGUCGGGACAGAGGGUCGCCAACCCGCGAGGGGGAGCCAAUCCCAGAAACCCGAUCGUAGUCCGGAUCGUAGUCUGCAACUCGACUACGUGAAGUCGGAAUCGCUAGUAAUCGCGGAUCAGAAUGUCGCGGUGAAUACGUUCCCGGGUCUUGUACACACCGCCCGUCACACCAUGGGAGUGGGUUCCACCAGAAGUAGUUAGCCUAACCGCAAGGAGGGCGAUUACCACGGCGGGGUUCAUGACUGGGGUGAAGUCGUAACAAGGUAGCCGUAUCGGAAGGUGC